ACGGAAGGCAGCAGUGAGGAAUAUUGCGCAAUGGAGGGAACUCUGACGCAGCGACGCCGCGUGAGGGAAGAAGGUUUUCGGAUUGUAAACCUCUGUCCUCAGGGAAGAAAGAGAUGACGGUACCUGGGGAGGAAGCCCCGGCUAACUACGUGCCAGCAGCCGCGGUAAUACGUAGGGGGCGAGCGUUGUCCGGAAUUAUUGGGUGUAAAGGGCGCGUAGGCGGCUUUGCAAGUCAAACGUGAAAACUGAAGGCUUAACCUUCAGCCUGCGUUUGAAACUGUAGGGCUUGAGUGAAGUAGAGGCAAGUGGAAUUUCCAGUGUAGCGGUGAAAUGCGUAGAUAUUGGAAGGAACACCGGUGGCGAAGGCGGCUUGCUGGGCUUUGACUGACGCUGAGGCGCGAAAGCGUGGGUAGCAAACAGGAUUAGAUACCCUGGUA
rnacentral:rRNA from 1 species